AGAGUUGUGAUGUAGAAGAGGAUUAGAAAAAAAACAAAGCUUGGCUGGGAAAGGCUCUGAGUCAUUCACAAGAGAAAAGAGCAAGUCUGGAAAUGGACAGGAGAGACUGGGAAGGGAGAAGGUGGAUAGAGGCUGGAGAGCUAAGUGGCUGUUGACAGGGUUUCACUCUGUCUUCCUGUGGACGGUGAAGCCUUCACCUUUUCAGGAGACGGGAGACUUCCUUCUCCAGACCAUCUCACAUGGAAACUGCACCCCUUCUAGACAUUUUCACUUGCAUGAGAGGCUUAAUUUUGGAAGAUGGAAACAAAAGAGUCUCUAUUUGGGGAAGCCGAGAAAGAUAAUUAUCACAGAGAACCCUCAGCUUUAUAAAUAGCGGCUCAUUUAAUCCUUACUAUCUCUAUAGGGUAACUGCCCAUUUUACAGAUGAGGAAACAGAAGUGCAGAGAGGUUAAAUAGAUGGCCUGAAGUCACACAGCCAGCAAGGGGCAGAGAUGGGAUGACAGCCCAGACAGGCUAGCCGGAGAGUGCAUGCUCUUUCCCAUCACUGUUCCUCUCCAAGAUAGCCUGUAUGAGGGGCAGAAAGGAAAGGACACAGCCCCUAAAAUGUGCCUUUUGGGGAAUUCUCAUACGUUUACUCUCCAGGCUUUUAGAGAUUACUGCCCUUGCCUCAUUACCUUAGUCCUUACCUCCCCUAAAUGAGUCCCCUGAGGAUGACCCACCCUGAGUCAUUCUUGUCUGAUGCUGGAGAUAUAGCCUUAGGUUCUCUCUCCUUGGAGUCUACUGGGUGUUGAUAAAACAAAACAAAACAAAACAAAACAAAACAAAACAAAACAACAAAGCAAUCCACCCCAGUCCCAUCCUCUGAUUACCGCCUUGUCAUCACCGUGGCCUUCUGCCAAUCAAUGCUCUUCCUUACAACCAGGCAAGCCUGUUGCCCUCAGUGCUGGGUGCUUCCAGGCUGCUGAGCCGCCCCAAGUCACUGCUCUCCCCCAACCUGCCCUCCCCCACUCCUUGCUAUCCU
rnacentral:lncRNA from 1 species